CAGGACGAACGCUGGCGGCGUGCCUAAUACAUGCAAGUCGAACGAACUCUGGUAUUGAUUGGUGCUUGCAUCAUGAUUUACAUUUGAGUGAGUGGCGAACUGGUGAGUAACACGUGGGAAACCUGCCCAGAAGCGGGGGAUAACACCUGGAAACAGAUGCUAAUACCGCAUAACAACUUGGACCGCAUGGUCCGAGCUUGAAAGAUGGCUUCGGCUAUCACUUUUGGAUGGUCCCGCGGCGUAUUAGCUAGAUGGUGGGGUAACGGCUCACCAUGGCAAUGAUACGUAGCCGACCUGAGAGGGUAAUCGGCCACAUUGGGACUGAGACACGGCCCAAACUCCUACGGGAGGCAGCAGUAGGGAAUCUUCCACAAUGGACGAAAGUCUGAUGGAGCAACGCCGCGUGAGUGAAGAAGGGUUUCGGCUCGUAAAACUCUGUUGUUAAAGAAGAACAUAUCUGAGAGUAACUGUUCAGGUAUUGACGGUAUUUAACCAGAAAGCCACGGCUAACUACGUGCCAGCAGCCGCGGUAAUACGUAGGUGGCAAGCGUUGUCCGGAUUUAUUGGGCGUAAAGCGAGCGCAGGCGGUUUUUUAAGUCUGAUGUGAAAGCCUUCGGCUCAACCGAAGAAGUGCAUCGGAAACUGGGAAACUUGAGUGCAGAAGAGGACAGUGGAACUCCAUGUGUAGCGGUGAAAUGCGUAGAUAUAUGGAAGAACACCAGUGGCGAAGGCGGCUGUCUGGUCUGUAACUGACGCUGAGGCUCGAAAGUAUGGGUAGCAAACAGGAUUAGAUACCCUGGUAGUCCAUACCGUAAACGAUGAAUGCUAAGUGUUGGAGGGUUUCCGCCCUUCAGUGCUGCAGCUAACGCAUUAAGCAUUCCGCCUGGGGAGUACGGCCGCAAGGCUGAAACUCAAAGGAAUUGACGGGGGCCCGCACAAGCGGUGGAGCAUGUGGUUUAAUUCGAAGCUACGCGAAGAACCUUACCAGGUCUUGACAUACUAUGCAAAUCUAAGAGAUUAGACGUUCCCUUCGGGGACAUGGAUACAGGUGGUGCAUGGUUGUCGUCAGCUCGUGUCGUGAGAUGUUGGGUUAAGUCCCGCAACGAGCGCAACCCUUAUUAUCAGUUGCCAGCAUUAAGUUGGGCACUCUGGUGAGACUGCCGGUGACAAACCGGAGGAAGGUGGGGAUGACGUCAAAUCAUCAUGCCCCUUAUGACCUGGGCUACACACGUGCUACAAUGGAUGGUACAACGAGUUGCGAACUCGCGAGAGUAAGCUAAUCUCUUAAAGCCAUUCUCAGUUCGGAUUGUAGGCUGCAACUCGCCUACAUGAAGUCGGAAUCGCUAGUAAUCGCGGAUCAGCAUGCCGCGGUGAAUACGUUCCCGGGCCUUGUACACACCGCCCGUCACACCAUGAGAGUUUGUAACACCCAAAGUCGGUGGGGUAACCUUUUAGGAACCAGCCGCCUAAGGUGGGACAGAUGAUUAGGGUGA
rnacentral:rRNA from 2 species